rnacentral:tRNA from 1 species
UAAAAUAAUAAAUAUUUAAUUUUACAGUGAAAAUAUAAUGUUUUUUUUAAACUAUAUAAAAAAGAAUCAU